rnacentral:rRNA from 1 species
AAAGCGACUCUCGGCAACGGAUAUCUCGGCUCUCGCAUCGAUGAAGAACGUAGCGAAAUGCGAUACUUGGUGUGAAUUGCAGAAUCCCGUGAACCAUCGAGUCUUUGAACGCAAGUUGCGCCCUAAGCCUUCUGGCCGAGGGCACGUCUGCCUGGGUGUCACAAA